UGACUGCUUACAAAUAUUUGAUACAAGGGUU
rnacentral:piRNA from 1 species